rnacentral:rRNA from 1 species
UACGGAGGUGGCGAGCGUUGUCCGAAGUUACUGGGCGUAAAGCGCGCGUAGGCGGGGGAUUAAGUGAGAAGUGAAAGGCUGGGGCUCAACUCCAUGCAGUGCUUCUCAUACUGGUCUUCUUGAGGGGGGUAGAGAGAAGUGGAAUGGCUGGUGUAGCGGUGAAAUGCGUAGAUAUGCGGAGGAACACCGAUGGCGAAGGCAAUCCCCUGGACCUGUACUGACGCUCAUGCACGAAAGCGUGGGGAGCAAACAGG